CCUACCCCUAGAAGAUUUUUGGGUGUGGCUGCUGUGUCAUAUGUACAUCAGUAAAUGGCAGAGAGUAGAGAGGCUAUGUGUAAGCUCAGUGUUCUGAUCUAUGAACACCUGAAUGAUUAAUAGCCUAACAGU